GGUAAAAAAAUAAGCUACACGCUGUUUUCCUUUUAAUAUAGAGCAAGCACGGACCUAUACGAGUUGAGUCCUCACAAACUUUAAGUGCACUUCUGCGGAUCCAGCCGAGAGAAGCUCAGAACAGAUAAUCACGGAGAAAAUCAGCCGACAGCCAAAAAAGAGUCAGCAGAGCCAUCAACUCCCGCGUCUGAUCCCCGGACGUCGAGACGACCAUGAAUGUGGUCAUCAGACUCCUGGUGGGACUUCUCUCCUUGAGUGAAUCCUUCCGACCAGAAGCCGAGGCCAGCAGCAACAGUUAUUGCAGGCAUAUUGAUUUCCCUGAAGGAGCGCGAAUCACUGCCCAAGGGAGCGGGGAAAAAAAGUACUGCGGAUCAGGUAUUGGCUCGUUCCUUGUCUUGGAAAAGAACCGAUUACUUCGCCUGCAUUGUCAACCUGGGAAUUUGAGAGCUAUGGUGACAGUCUCGGAUGGGACAAAGAAUAAACGCCGAGAUAUCUUUAGCCGUAAGGAGGUUUGCACCGUAGAAGAGGGUUAUAUCACCACCGCGGACACGGCGAAAAUUCUCACCGAUGCUCUCAUGGACACCUGGGUGCCUUACGACGAUACUUAUUGCAACUCUGAGCACUACUUCAACUACUUGGCCCGAGGCAUAGUCAAAGACGUUAGCGACAACAAGGUGACGGAAACUUGUCCAAUUUUCAAGCCUAUCCCACGGAAAUUCGUCCUGCCUCUCGCAUCAUCAAGCUUCCGACUACGCGGGAAGAAUGUGGAGUACCCGUGGCCUACGGCGCAGGGAACUGAAAGGAAAGUACUUUCAGUCGAAACGGUGAACAGAGAGGUGCCAGUUACUUUUCCUGACGAAAUGGAUGGAGAAAAAGGUCGCGGUGAGAAAGGGAAAAAUAUCGCAGGUGUUUGGGUUCCUAAAGACCUAGGUAUACAUGGAGAUGGUGGUGGUUUUAGGCAUGAAACGCCAUCCAAUGGUGGGUUUGCUUCCAAGAGUGGGUCUCCUCCCAGGAGUGGGUCUUUACGCAAGGGUGGGUCUCCACAUAAAGGUGGGUCUCCACGCAAGAGUAGGUCUCCACGCAAGGGUGGGUCUUCUUCCAAGGGGGAAUCUCCUUCCAUGGGUAAGAAUUUACCUAGGAGCGGGAGCGAAGUGAGCGGAAGUGACGUGAGCGACAGUUACAUGAGCGACGGCGGAGCGAGCGACGGUUACGUGAGCGACGGCGGAGCGAGCGACGGUUACGUGAGCGACGGCGGAGCGAGCGACGGUUACGUGAGUGACAGCGGAGCGAGCGCCGUGAGCAGAAACUCGGAUGGGACUCCCAAACCGAAAAAGAAGAGUUUGGGUAGGAGAGUGAAAAAAGCGGUGUUAACCAGAAUAGGCAGGUCCUUCAAUUUUUCACCACGGCGAUAAAAAAAUGGGUAACCAAGAUUGAAACAUUUCAAAAGUUUAAAAGGCGGUUGAACGAGACUGUUUCCAUAACGUUGCAUUCAUUAAACCCAACUUUCUUUUCAGAGAUUUUUUUAUUAUUUUUUUUUUUUUUGUAAUUAAAGUAAAGUAGAUUACAACACAUUUUCAGACCUUACGGGUCUUUAAAAAUUUGAAUUUAACAUGUAACAGACAGUAUUACAGUGAUGUACCACUUUAAGCAGAUAAAAAAAUAUGUACAAAAAUUGGUAAGAAAAUUGAUGAGAGGAAUGGAAGUGAAGAUUAUUUUCAGCUAUGUAAAAUAAAACGUAUAAAACAUUUAAAACUGAGCGAAAACUAAUAACAACAUAUCACAGUAUGUGAUAAACAAAGAGAAGCCGGAAAGUAUGGCGCCAAAGGCAAGUAGUAGUAGUAGUAGUAGUAGUAGUAGUAGUAGUAGUAAAAGUAUUAGUAAUAGUAGAGGUAGUAUUGGUGGAGGUGGUGGUAGUGGUGGUAGUGGUGGUAGUGGUAGUAGUGGUAGCAGUGGUAGCAGUGGUAGUAGUGUUAGUAGUGUUAGUAGUAGUAGUAAUAGCAGUACUACUACUACUAGUAGUAGUAGUAGUAGUAGUAGUAGUAGUGGUAGUAGUAAUAGUAGUAGUAAUCGUAACAGUAGUAUUUGUCGGAGUGUAGUAGUAGAGGUAGUAGUGGUAGUGGUGGUAAUGGUGGUAGUAGUGAUAGUAGCAGCAGCAGUAGUAGUAGUAGUAGUAGUAGUAGUAGUAGUAGUAAUAGUAGCAGCAGUAGUAGUAUAGUAGUAGUAGUAGUAGUAGUAGUAGUAGUAGUAGUAGUAGUAGUAGUAGUAGUAGUAGUAGUAGUAGUAGUAGUAGUAGUAGUAGUAGUAGUAGUAGUAGUAGUGGUGGUGGUAGUAGUAGUGGUAGUAGUAGUAGUAGAAGUAGUAGUAGUAGUAGUAGUAGUAAUAGUAAUAGUAGUAGUAGUGUAGUAGUGGUAGUAGAAGCAGUGGUAUGUCAGAUUUAUUAGGCUCUAAAGCAUCUGAUGACUAUAAGGAUGAGGCACCUGAAGUGAGUCUAAAUAUACAAUUUCGAGGUGCCACGAAAAGGGUACAUACAUUUUGGCAGUCAACGGAAACAGAAAAAUAAGUUUCAGAAAGUCCAAGAACAUGAGCUUUGAGAAUAAAUAUUAAAAAAUGGGCAAAUAAUUUUUAUUUUUUUUUUAACGUAUUCUAAUAACUGACCUACGUGAAACAUAAAUAUCUAUCUACAUGAUUGACUGAUGCUGCUGUAUUCAGCAAAUUCACUUUGUCAUGGAUACGUUUAAUUAAUGCGAGUUGAAUAGAAGUUGAAAAACCCACGAGUAUGUCUAAUCAUUAAUUAAUAAAAGUGCACAUAGACGCAAUAAUUCUUGACAGUUUCUCAUUGUCUGUGUACUUUAAGGGAGUUGUUGUAGUAAUUUACCGCUAGAGUUUUUUAUAAUACCACUUAGUUUUGUAGCCUUCCUAUAAUUUUCAGUCAAGAAAUAGUAAAUAUUUGUAGAAUUUUGAGUAAGAACUUGACAUUAAGAUAAAAUGUACGAUUGGGCCAACGUAGGCAUAUAAUUUCCAAAUCAGAGUAAGAUCAAACUAAACAUAGCUUGAAUUUACAUAAUCUGAAAUACGUUUAUAGAUGAAUGGUGAAUAGCAGAUACCGGAAAAAUGAUAAAAUGAGUAAUUUAAGUAUUAUAAAUAACGAGAAAUUCCCUUCCCCUCACCGAAGAAUGGAAUAAACGUUUUAACUAUAUUCAAUUUUUCUUUUUAUUGCUAAGAAACUGAAUUAAGUUGCAGGUUCUAAUAGGAAAGCUCUCUGAUGAUUAGAAUAUGUUUAUUAGACGUAAGGACGAUAGACCUAUUACGAUAGAUUACAUGAUAUGAAGUAACGUACUGUAAGAAGUACUUCGAUGGUACUUUUUUUCAGUAACAUGGCACUUUAACUAAACAUGGUAACUUUCGGCUUUCAACAUGAAAUAUUUGGAUGAAAAUGAACAUGUUUCUUUCCACGCGCUUAUUUUUGUAGUAAUGAGUUCUCUUCGAAUACUAGGAACAAAACAAAGUAUUUAAAGAUGAUCAUGAUUAAUAGUAAAAGCUCGAACUUUCAUAGAUCAAAUGAAAAAUUCUAUAAAGCGGCUGUUGCAAACCGUUGCCAAGAUUUUUAGCCUGCUCGACGUGUCGCCAACCUUGCAAUAACAGAGGCUGAAUUCAAAAAGAUAGUUUCAAAUGUAAUGUACAAAAUUGGUGUCAAAACUGAGUAUAUGCGCCCACCAAUGUGAUUUGAACUAAAUUGACGAAAUAGAACCAUAUUAUCUGCAUUUUGAAGCAUCUGCAUGCGACGUCCGCCAUUUUUUCCCCUAAGAGCUCCAUAAAGUUCGAUGGCUAAGUUGAUUAGAAGUGAAUCCUCCAGUAGUCAUACUCUGUCCAUAAAGAUACUCUAACCCCGUCUAGUUUUUGGGAAAUUGAUCAAAGAAUUUCAUAAGAAGAAAUAGAUAAUAUCGUUCUAACUGAAUAUUAGUAGGCACCACAAGUGAAUGUUUUACAAUACAAACUUGCUAAUUGAGCACACAGAGAGGCAAAAUCACGGGAGUUUAUGAGAAAUGACACUUGCCGCAAAAAUUUGAUGAUGGAUGGUGCGCACCAGUCACCAUUUGAUCGGAAAUUGAUGGAAAUUUGAGCGUGCAGCCAGGCCUUAGUGUAAAACAAGCGAUUCUUGACCAGACAGCUUGCCUUAUCGAAAAUCAGUAUUUUAUGAUGGAUUUGAAUGGAGAUAAACAGCUUUGCUGCCUUACAAAAUCGCCACAGUAUCGACAAAAACACUAUAUCGACAAAAAUGUGAAUCUCGUUUGUAGUGAUACAAAAUCUCCUUUUUUAUUAUACUUUAUUGAAGAGAACAAACCAACACUAUUACUUGAAAUUCUCACAGAAUAUUCUUCACACAGAGAGGCAAAAUCAGAGGAGUUUAUGAGAAACACUUGAGUAUGUUUUCUCUUAAACAAUAAAUUAUGAAAGAAAUGAAUAAAUAAAUAAGUAAAUAAUAAAUUGUGUUUCCCCGCGGCGAGAACAGAGAUAGGGAUUCUGGCAGUUUCACCGUCGAUGCGUGAUGUAUGACUGUAUCAAAACUCAACAGUAAACUAAAAUUGGAUGAAACAUUGAUGCUGUUUCCGAUGGAAUUGUGGUUCUGCGUAUUUAAAUUCUCAUUGUACGUACUUUUUUUCAGUGAUUUAAGAUUUCGUAUUUUUUCAUGAUUCCUUUUUGAACCCAACUCGAGGUUAUUUAUAUUAAAUUGAUUAUUCUUCUGUAUGAUGUAUGAAUUAAAUUACUUUCU
rnacentral:lncRNA from 1 species